CAUUCAUACAUAGUCUAUUAGACACUCAUUUUUGUAAGUAGGAGGAGGACAAGUAGUCUUGGUGUGUCCCUCAAAUUUAAUCAGAUCAAAGGUUGAAUCAUGCUGUGUCGUGACAACAGGGUAUUUAUGAGGUGUGUUACAAGUACACUGGCCAAACACUACCAAUGACUUCUGCGACACACACACACACACACACACACACUCCUUCCUAGGGAAUUUACAAUUUCAGCCUCAAAUUCACCAAACCGUAAAGAGGAUAUUAAGCCCUCCCUUUGAAUAAGAAUAGCGAUGUUAGUAUGUCCGAGUCUAUCCCGGCAGGAAACUUUUGGCACGAAUUUCAAACAGUGAAAAGGAGAAAAAAAAUUAGGUCGGUCAGGUUAGGUGUCGGCGAUAAGAAAAGAGAUUGCGGGAGCAUCCCCAGCCUUCUUCUUUCCCCUUUUGCCGCCCCCAAACACUCCCCCCACGCGUCUAUCACGGAAACAACACAGAGGAGCGCACACGCAACACUCACACCUCCAACUAUUGACUGUUGUAUCAGGUGUUCUAACCGGGAUGUGACAGUUUAGGCUGGGAGCAGAAAUAAUCAACAUGCCCAUUAGAUACAGGAUGGAAUAAUGCUUCUACUGGUUGGGUCCCUUCGAGAGAGAACCAUUCUCUGCUUUCAAUAGGACAGAAGAGCUCCUUGGCACUGGAUGCCUCCGGGUCUGGUUGAGAGAGGAAUGGUUAGGAGACUGUUCUGAGGAUACGCAGACAUCAUCCAAAGCUUCCUACAUUCAGAUGAGGACAGAGGUUGGGCCAGAGCUUUGUAUGCUUGUUACCUAAGGAUGGUUCUGACCAUGUAAGCAGAUCACAGAAGAUAUAUACCAGUAGAGGAAUUGCUGGAUUAUAUUGAAGGUCUAUUUUUAAUUAUUUGAAGAACCUCCAUUUUGGAAAACUCAAAUUUCUGAGCAGACUGAUCCUGGACUCGACGCGGGGAAUUGUUUGAAAGGUUCCUGAGCCAAUACUUGUCAAACCUGGUACUGUAUCAAGAUCCUCAUGACCUAUACCAAAUGCAGUCUGGAAGUGUGGUUGGCUGCUCAAAUCAGGAGUCAAGUGUUCAUAUACAAACCCCUGCAAAACUCUCCCCCACCACUCGAGUUCUCCCACAGAGUCUGGAGCACAGUCAGAACUGAGAUUUUUUUUUAUCUGGGGCCCAGAUUUUCUUCCUGGACCUUGUUAUUCCCUCUCCCAGGAGAUAGACUCUGAUCUGGCAUCCGUGACUGUUAUCUGGAGUUCAG
rnacentral:lncRNA from 1 species